rnacentral:rRNA from 1 species
UACGGAGGGGACUAGCGUUGCUCGGAAUCACUGGGCGUAAAGCGCACGUAGGCGGCCGAUCAAGUCAGAGGUGAAAGCCUGGAGCUUAACUCCAGAACUGCCUUUGAUACUGUUUGGCUAGAGUUCGGAAGAGGUUGGUGGAACUGCAAGUGUAGAGGUGAAAUUCGUAGAUAUUUGCAAGAACACCAGUGGCGAAGGCGGCCAACUGGUCCGAUACUGACGCUGAGGUGCGAAAGCGUGGGGAUCAAACAGG